GUUUGAAUGAUGACUUAAAUUGUCGGAUACCCCUUCACUCUUUGCAUGAGUGAAACCUGUAACAGUCUGACAAAC